GUGAAUCAUCAAAUUUUUGAACGCAAAUUGCGCUCUCUGGCAUUCCGGAGAGUAUGCCUGUUUGAGGGUCAGUAUAAAUAAAUCGGUAUAUUGCUUUUUUUGUAACGUUCCGGAGUUUGGGUUAUCUUAGCUUUUUAAGGUUUAAGAAACUUAAAAUUAAUCUUUUUUGCGCAUUUUUAGACGUACAUAAAAUUUUUUUAUUCGUCUAUUUUAAUGUCAAAAUUUUAUUAGAUACAAUCAUAUCAUGUGGUUCCGUAUCUAUGUUUUUCAUAAUUUGACCUCAAAUCAGGUAGGAGUACC
rnacentral:misc_RNA from 1 species